AUUGAACGCUGGCGGCAGGCCUAACACAUGCAAGUCGAGCGGUAGCACAGAGAGCUUGCUCUCGGGUGACGAGCGGCGGACGGGUGAGUAAUGUCUGGGAAACUGCCUGAUGGAGGGGGAUAACUACUGGAAACGGUAGCUAAUACCGCAUAACGUCGCAAGACCAAAGUGGGGGACCUUCGGGCCUCAUGCCAUCAGAUGUGCCCAGAUGGGAUUAGCUAGUAGGUGGGGUAACGGCUCACCUAGGCGACGAUCCCUAGCUGGUCUGAGAGGAUGACCAGCCACACUGGAACUGAGACACGGUCCAGACUCCUACGGGAGGCAGCAGUGGGGAAUAUUGCACAAUGGGCGCAAGCCUGAUGCAGCCAUGCCGCGUGUGUGAAGAAGGCCUUCGGGUUGUAAAGCACUUUCAGCGGGGAGGAAGGCGAUAAGGUUAAUAACCUUGUCGAUUGACGUUACCCGCAGAAGAAGCACCGGCUAACUCCGUGCCAGCAGCCGCGGUAAUACGGAGGGUGCAAGCGUUAAUCGGAAUUACUGGGCGUAAAGCGCACGCAGGCGGUCUGUCAAGUCGGAUGUGAAAUCCCCGGGCUCAACCUGGGAACUGCAUUCGAAACUGGCAGGCUAGAGUCUUGUAGAGGGGGGUAGAAUUCCAGGUGUAGCGGUGAAAUGCGUAGAGAUCUGGAGGAAUACCGGUGGCGAAGGCGGCCCCCUGGACAAAGACUGACGCUCAGGUGCGAAAGCGUGGGGAGCAAACAGGAUUAGAUACCCUGGUAGUCCACGCCGUAAACGAUGUCGAUUUGGAGGUUGUGCCCUUGAGGCGUGGCUUCCGGAGCUAACGCGUUAAAUCGACCGCCUGGGGAGUACGGCCGCAAGGUUAAAACUCAAAUGAAUUGACGGGGGCCCGCACAAGCGGUGGAGCAUGUGGUUUAAUUCGAUGCAACGCGAAGAACCUUACCUGGUCUUGACAUCCACAGAACUUUCCAGAGAUGGAUUGGUGCCUUCGGGAACUGUGAGACAGGUGCUGCAUGGCUGUCGUCAGCUCGUGUUGUGAAAUGUUGGGUUAAGUCCCGCAACGAGCGCAACCCUUAUCCUUUGUUGCCAGCGGUUCGGCCGGGAACUCAAAGGAGACUGCCAGUGAUAAACUGGAGGAAGGUGGGGAUGACGUCAAGUCAUCAUGGCCCUUACGACCAGGGCUACACACGUGCUACAAUGGCAUAUACAAAGAGAAGCGACCUCGCGAGAGCAAGCGGACCUCAUAAAGUAUGUCGUAGUCCGGAUUGGAGUCUGCAACUCGACUCCAUGAAGUCGGAAUCGCUAGUAAUCGUAGAUCAGAAUGCUACGGUGAAUACGUUCCCGGGCCUUGUACACACCGCCCGUCACACCAUGGGAGUGGGUUGCAAAAGAAGUAGGUAGCUUAACCUUCGGGAGGGCGCUUACCACUUUGUGAUUCAUGACUGGGGUGA
rnacentral:rRNA from 1 species